rnacentral:rRNA from 1 species
UGCCAGCAGCCGCGGUAAUACGGAGAGGGCAAGCGUUGUUCGGAUUUACUGGGCAUAAAGCGCACGUAGGCGGGUUGGAAAGUCGGUUGUGAAAUCCCGGGGCUCAACCCCGGAACUGCUUCCGAAACUUCCAGCCUGGAGGACGAGAGGGGAGAGUGGAACUUCUGGUGGAGCGGUGAAAUGCGUAGAUAUCAGAAGGAACACCGGUGGCGAAAGCGACUCUCUGGCUCGUUUCUGACGCUGAGGUGCGAAAGCUAGGGGAGCGAACGGGAUUAGAUA